UCGAGAAUCUUCCCCAAUGGACGAAAGUCUGAGGGAGCGACGCCGCGUGUAGGAAGACGCCCUUCGGGGUGUAAACUACUUUUCUAUGGGACGAACAUUGACGGUACCGUAGGAAUAAGGGGCUGCAAACUCUGUGCCAGCAGCAGCGGUAAUACAGAGACCCCGAGCGUUAUCCGGAUUUAUUAGGCGUAAAGAGUCUGUAGGCGUCCUGCUAAGUCCCCGGUUAAAUCCCACCGCUCAACGGUGGUUCAGCCAGGGAAACUGACAGGAUUGAGGUUGGGAGAGGUGAGCGGAAUUGCCGGUGUAGUAGUAAAAUGCGUUAAUAUCGGCAAGAACACCAAAGGCGAAGGCAGCUCACUAGAACACACCUGACGCUGAGAGACGAAAGCGUGGGGAGCGAAUGGG
rnacentral:rRNA from 1 species